rnacentral:lncRNA from 1 species
UAAAUAUAGUCUAUUAAUAAAUAUAGAAUUAAAUGCCUUUGUACAACAUCAGAUUGAUAGAACAAACGACAAAUUCGUACAGUGAGAAGUGAGACGUCUGUUACUACUUGGGUUACGAGCCAGAGACAUUUCUUCACGGAGAGACGACUCUAUUUUUUUUGCAAAUACCUCCUUUAAACACCUUAGGAUCCUCUACGUUAAACAUCACUUUUACAUGCCCUAAAGAAUCAGACUAUAGCAGGCUCUCGACUUUUCUAUAGCAGGCUCCACACUCGUUCUUGUUGCUUCAGUAUAUAGACUACUAGUGUAUGAAGCGCGCGCCAUGCGCGCAUGUUAAACCAUGGUGCAAAAUCUUGUUAUAUAAGCAUGUAAAACUUGUCAACGUGUCAUGAACAUUUUCACAUCCAGAAUAGUUGUUACUAAGGAUAAUGAAUACAUAAGUAUCAGACCAAAGCAGCAUUAAAGUAGCGUGUACCAAGAGCUGGUAACAGUGUGUUUCUAGGCGCUACAUUUACACAUAAACGUCUUCUGUCCAGAAGUGAUACUGCUCUUGAUGUGUGGGCAAAAACCAAAUAUGUACCUGUAUACAUGGGAGGAAAAUAUCAGUUGUGGUAAAAGUGUUUGUCGAACAUUUUUGUUGUUGUGUACUUGGUUCAAGGAAGAGUGAAAGAUAAUAUGUUGAUUAUGUAUAAGAAAAUAUGUCAUGUAUGACAUAGGAGUGUACACGAUGUUAUACCUUUAUAAAUCAGAAGCAAUUUAGUAAAACCCAAACAUUAGAAACAGGUAACAAAACUCGAGAAGGUAUGAAAUUGAAACUAGAUUGGAGAAAACCGAAUUGGAUUACUUCUCUUUCUACAAGAAGUAGUCGUGAUAGCUGCUAUCAUCAUUGUGCCCAAAAAGGUACUGCAAUAAUAUAUGACCACAAAAGCUAUUUUGUUGGACAAAUGAAUGCAACAAAACUUCAAUCCUAGACUGGAGCGGAAUAACCAGGGAUUAGAUGGAAGAGUUGGGACUAGAGAGGAACAAGAUUUUUAGAAAAUAUUGAUAAACACCCUAAACCCUAAAAUUGGGGCAGUAAAAAAGGAUAAGCUUCAAGAACAGAGAACGGAGACAAUGGAUGAACCAGCGAAGAAAUAUAGUGGCCUUUUGGAACCUCGAUGCGUCUAUAAAUAAAAGAAAGCGAAAUCUGAACAUCGUACAGUAUGAACCAUUCCACCCAAAAGAAAUGAGUUGUCCACCAAAACAAACGAUCUACGAACGAAGAAUGGAAACAUAGCUUAGGAAAUGAAAGCGCCAAGGACCAAGUUGACAGUAGAGCCGUAAAAAAAGAAAAUACAACCUGCACUUGAUGCGAAGAACUUUACCAAAAGAAAAUAGUAGCUUUCUCGGUCUCAAUGUCCAAAUUGAAUUUCAAUGAAGUAGAAACAUUUCCUUAUAGGCCUACAUGUACCAAAGCAAGAGGAUCUCGGCUAGAGGAUGUCGGAUAAGAUCCAAGCACGAAUCUAGAACCAGAUGUCCAUAUGCACUGUGUGCGAACCACUUUACCAAAAGGAUAUGAUUCAAGAGGAUUUUCGGUCUCAAUGUCUAAAAAGUAUAGUUGGAUGAGGUAGAAGCAUUUCCUUAUUUAUCUACAUGUACCAAAGCAACAAGAUCUCCAAAAAACAAGAUGCACUCGGCUAGAGGACCAGCACAGUGCACACAUAAAACAUAAUUGAAUUCUGUGUUUCAGUUAUAUAUAAUUUAGAUGUAACUAUAGAAUAAGAACUCUUUUGAGGUGAUUCAAGAGGGUUGGUAAUAUCUUUGUUGAUGAUAGGAUAAACAUCAUCCAUUUGCUGCAUAAAAAAAUUGGUCCUAGUAUUUAGUGAAAAAAUUUGGAAAAAUAAUUUAGAUGGUAGCAUGCAAGUACCAAUUAAUAUGGAGGCUAACCAGCUGGAUCUGUGUUAGUUUCAGUUACAUGGAAAGCUAACCUGCGAACAUAAAUAGAAAAUAUGCAUUAAGCAUGAGGUGAUAUGCUGAAAACAGUGAUAUAUACAUUAUAUGUUAAAAUGCAUGCAAAGUGAAACUAAAGUAUUCUAGUAUGUUUUCUUCACUUGUAUGAUAGGUUAAUGCUCUAGAAACAUGUUUUAUAGAGUGUAUCAUAUUUCUUUGCAUAUAACAUGUCGUAUUAGUAAAAAAGGUCACCUAUCUAAAGUAUUUAUAAAUGGAUAUAUAGUCAUAUUUGAACCCAUAACAGAUUUGCUUUAGCAUUCUCAUAUAAAAAAAGUUUCUGUUCUAAGCAUCUCUGGACCAUUGGUAGCAGCUUACAUAUAGAAACAAUUAGAAACAUCAAUUCUCCUUUCGUUAUUAUCAGCUUGCUACAAAAAUUCAGUAUAACUGUUUAGAGAUUGUAUUCUUGAUGAAAGAAGAGGCACCCAACAUUAAAACACAUAACGGAUGAUGGCUUGUUGCAGAACGUUUUUAAAGCAAAAAUAAGUUACUUUGUACCUUUUAUAAGCAUGCAUUGUGCCCAUCUUAAAAGGAAUACAAUCGUAAAUCAACUAAUCUCAAAUGCAUAGAGUAUAGGAAGAAUGAGUGUGCACCUUGCACUUUGGGAAGCUGUGAAGCACUCACCAAGCUAAACAUCAUUUUCUAUAGGCCAAAGAAAGAGAAAAAAUGUGAGAGUUAGUAAGCGAUGAAUGAAAAUCAAGUGAAGGUAAUAAAAACGGUUUUAUAAAGAAUAUAAUGUCGACUGUCUAAGAAGAUCUUAAGACAAAACCACAUUUUUACAUUUUUUAGGAAAAAGGAAAAAUUGAUGUGAAAAUAUUAACACGAAAAUGCAGUACAAAUGGUCGACUAAGUAAGGUAAGGAAAAAAAUAAAUAUGCGAUUAAAAAGAUUGUAUGGGGAGGGGUUAGGGAGAGGAAAUCUGGUACAUUCUGCAAGCAAAUCAAGAGUAAAUAAGUUGUAAGGAUGCAAGCCGAACCCUAAAAAGAGGGGGAAUAAAACUGCACAGGAAGCACACGUUCGUAUGUUGGAGAAGAACGGUUAAAAUGGAGUAUCAGACAAAAGAAAUCUAGUGAUUCCUAUGAAUGAAGUCAUCAUUUCAGUAGAUCCCAAUGCAAGUAUGCUAGAUCCAUAUACAAGCAGCCCAAAUCGAUAGAAUCUGAAGCAUAUUUUAUCAAUGAGAAGAUAUAGGAAUGGAAAGCACUCACCAAGCUAAACAUCAUUUUCUAUAGGCCAAAGAAAGAGAAAAAAUGUGAGAGUUAGUAAGCGAUGAAUGAAAAUCAAGUGAAGGUAAUAAAAACGGUUUUAUAAAGAAUAUAAUGUCGACUGUCUAAGAAGAUCUUAAGACAAAACCAUAUUUUUACAUUUUUUAGGAAAAAGGAAAAAUUGAUGUGAAAAUAUUAACAUGAAAAUGCAGUACAAAUGGUCGACUAAGUAAGGUAAGGAAAAAAAUAAAUAUGCGAUUAAAAAGAUUGUAUGGGGAGGGGUUAGGGAGAGGAAAUCUGGUACAUUCUGCAAGCAAAUCAAGAGUAAAUAAGUUGUAAGGAUGCAAGCCGAACCCUAAAAAGAGGGGGAAUAAAACUGCACAGGAAGCACACGUUCGUAUGUUGGAGAAGAACGGUUAAAAUGGAGUAUCAGACAAAAGAAAUCUAGUGAUUCCUAUGAAUGAAGUCAUCAUUUCAGUAGAUCCCAAUGCAAGUAUGCUAGAUCCAUAUACAAGCAGCCCAAAUCGAUAGAAUCUGAAGCAUAUUUUAUCAAUGAGAAGAUAUAGGAAUGGAAAGCGCAGGGAACAGGAGACAACGUUGAGUUGUAAUACAAACGUAGGUGAGCAAGUGCUAUUUUACCGGAGGAAUGGAGAUAUCUUUCCCUGCAGAACACAUGCCCUUGUGACAUUUCCUUCUCUAAUGCGCGCCUUUGCAU